rnacentral:lncRNA from 1 species
UGUGUCUCAAACUCUUUGUAAUGUUGAAUUGAAACAAUGAGCUGGCUGUACUCUUUUUCCCUUCCUAGGGUUUUCUCACAAGGGUGAGUUUUUACCUAGGAAGGUUUUUAAUGAGGCAGCCAACACUUGAUCACACAGAUCAAGUGUUAAACAGCUCUAAUAAUUCCAUGUGAUGAAUGUCUGUGAUUUUGUGAUUGUGUGUUGUGUCUGUGAUUCCAUGUUAACAGCUCAAAUGAAUUGUGAAUUGUGAUUGUGUCUGUGUCUGUGAUUCUGUGAUUGUGUGUUGUGGUGUCGAAUAUGGGCUGUGGGCUGGCCCGACCCGUAAAAAAAGACGAGCCCUUCGGGCCGGCCCAGCACGAAAAAGACCUCACGGACCCGUGUAUGGGCAGCCCCCACGGCCCGUGGGCUGGCCCGGCCCGGCACGAGGGUGUUAUCGUGACGGGCCAGGCCCGGCACGAAAACGAACGGGCCAUGCCGGGCCCGUGCCGGACCGGGCCGGGCGGCCCGAAUGGACAUCUAUACCCCGAACCCUAUCCGCACCGCGCCGCCGUCCCCAUCCCGCGGCACCGUCCGCAUCCCGUCGCGCCGCGGUCCCAUCCCGUCGCGCCGCGGCCCCUCCGGCCGUCGCCCCUGCAGUUGCCGCCCGUCCUCCGGCCCUGUAGUUGCCACCCGUCCUCCGCCCGAGUGUGCUCCGCCCCUGCUCGCGCCCCUGUCGUGCCGCCGCCCCUCCGCCCCUCGUCGGCUGGGCCCUGCUCGCGCCGGCGUUCGUUGGCCCCUCGUCGGCCGGCCCCUACUCGCGCCGCCGUCGCCCGGACCCUGCUCGUGGACGGCGCCCGUGGACGUCGCCCGAUCUGCAGCGGCUCCUGCCCGUGGACGUCGCCCGAUCUGCAGCAAGGUGAACAGAUAGAAAAUGCUUCGUGAUUGCUUCACGUCCUCCGUUCUGAGGUCUUAAUUUCUGAAGACCUGACCGCCCAUAUGUUUCGGAAAUUCAGGAUGUAGAAUUUCGACGCAAAGGAUGCAGAAAUUCCCUAUUAUACACGUAACAAAAUGACCCAUGGUGCUGUCCAGAUACAGCUGCUAACCUUUCUCUCAAACAUGUUAAACAGGCAGUAGCAGUCCACCUGUAUGUACUGGAACAGUUUUUUGAAGAUAGAGGCAUGACAAAUUCAGGAGCACGGAUUCAAUCAAAUAGGCACCGAUUCUGACAAAUUCCGAAGCAAAGAUUCUCAAUCAAACAGUCUAUGAAUAAUUAUGCAUGAAACAAAUACAAUCAGUAGUACAUAGGGGUAAUAGAGAUAUUGCACAUCUCUUCUAGCCACUCUCGUCCUCGAAGAAGCUGGGUUGCCAAACGGACUCUAGCUUUCAGAAAGCCCGCUUUUGGAAAGCCAGCAUUGCAGGAUAGAAAGCCAGAAGUUAGCUUUCGGAAAGCAAAAGUAGGGCAGGAAAUGGCCAUCGACACCGCCGCCGCCAGCGGCGGAGAGAAGAGGCAGAGAGUGGAUGAGCAAGGGGAUCGAUGCGGAUCUGUGGGUGCGGAUGCGAUCCCGGCGGACCGCAUCUCGGCCCUGCCGGACGAGCUGCAGCAGCGCAUCCUGACGCACCUCCCGCUCAAGGACGCCGUCCGCACGGGGGCGGUCGCGCGCGGGUGGCGCGACCUGUGGAAGGGUCGGUGGGCGCACCGCGCCUCCGUCGAGAUCCACCUCCGUUCCCGCGACGCUCCGCAGAGGGAGCUCGACGCGCGAGCCGCGCCCGCGCCGCCGCAUCGCCGCUUCUCCCUCAUCGUCGACACCUGCAAGUUCAAGUCCUCGCAGAUCCGGCGCUUCAUCGAGUACGCCGCCGAGUGCCGCGUCGAGGACCUCCACGUCGAGACGCGGAAGAUCACGGCCGCGGACAAGCUCAACUUUCACUUGCCGCUGGCGAGCCCGCUCCUCGCGCGCCUCUCCCUCCGCUGCAUCAGCAUCUCCAACAUGUACUACAAGGGCGCGCAGCCGUUCCACGCUCUUGAGGUCAUCCUGCUCCACUCCGUCUCCAUUGCCCAAGCGACCUUCAAAAGAAUGAUGGCGCUGUGCCCCAGCCUCCUCACCCUCGACCUGCGCGGCUGUGCUUGUGAGCCCCUUUUCUUCUGGGGCGAAGCCAUGGUCUGGCCGGCGAAGCUGAGGAGUAUCACUGUUGCCGCGUGUUCCGGGACCAUCAGGCUGGACUUGGUGCGCGUGCCUAGCCUGCGGUCCUUCCGCUUCAGCUGCGGCUUCCUCGACAUUCCCUUCUUCCUUGCAGGCGAGGCUGUGCUUUCCGACCUUUCAUUCUGUUUCUGUACUCAUCAGUGUCAAGAAGCCACAAUGCUCAAAAGUUCAAUAAAGGUCUCCCAAAUGAUCUGUCCGCCCUCACAGUUCUCACCAUCUGCAACAAUGCCCUCCCGGUACUUUCUCACUAUUGGAUUUUCGUACCACCUAGCUCAUAUAUUGUUUGAUUGCCACAUAAGAAAAAAGUACCAAGUUUCUUCACUAACAAAUGCCUUUCAGGUCGUGUCUUCCUCGUAUGAUGAUGGAGCAACUGCCCAGUUGCCCAAGCUGAGCAACCUGCACGGUUUGAGAGAGUUACAUCUACUCAUGUUAAAAAUGGAGGACGCCAACCUUGCUGACAUCUAUGUGUUUCUCAAGACCAUCCAAUGCCACAAUCUGGAGAGGCUUUUUGUGCAGGUUAACACCUGCCCUGCCUCGCUGAUUUUCUCUGAUCUGUAGUCACUCUCUCUUUUUUUUAUUUCAUCUACUUCUCGGUUCUUAUUUUAUCAAUAGCCUUCUGAAUGGUUGUGCUUCAACUGCAGCUCCCGGGAUUCGUGUAUGAGCCCAUGGAGGGUUCGCAAUCGCUUGGCGUUGUGCUGAGGUGCAGCUAGUGAGCUUUUUAUUGAGGAAAGCCAAGUCCCUGCAGAAAUUGUUAAUAGUUUCUCCAAAUGUCACUCCACGGGAUGUGCCCGGUGUACAAGAAGCAGAGUUGUUGUUUCUCAAAGAAGCUUUAGGGGGGCGUUUGGUUCCUUGCUUAUUUUUAAGCAAGUGUCACAUCAAUGUUUAGAUACUAAUUAGGAGUAUUAAACGUAGGCUAUUUACAAAACCCAUUACAUAAGUGGAGGCUAAACAGCGAGACGAACCUAUUAAGCCUAAUUAAUCCAUCAUUAACAAAUGUUUACUGUAGCAACACAUUGUCAAAUCAUGGACUAAUUAGGCUUAAUAGAUUCGUCUCGCCGUUUAGCCUCCACUUAUGUAAUGGAUUUUGUAAAUAGUCUACGUUUAAUACUCCUAAUUAGUAUCUAAACAUUGAUGUGACACUUGCUUAAAAAUAAGCAAAUGGAACCAAACCAGGCCUUAGCCAAUGGCAAAAUAAUUCUGAGUGAGUCUGACGAUGCUGCAACUCAGCCAUACCAUUCUGAGGUCUUUAUCAAGCUCUAGUUGUCAGUCACCAGUUGGGGUCAGAACCGAAUGGAUAGUAAUAUCCGCAUCAGCUUGUAAGGGCAUUAUCCUCUUGGAUGUAGCUUACUGACAAUAUAUAUGAAGACCGAUGUUGUCUCCUUAUUUUCUUCUCUUGAAUAUUACUACUAGCAAAGUAUUUAAAUGCAUGGUAUUCCAACACAUGCUUACUUACCUAUCCUGAUACCACUUGCAUGAUGCAUUACGAACCAGCUCCAUAUCACCUUUCACAAUUCAACAACGAGGUGAAUUAAUUUGUGUAUCUGAAAUAACGAUGAUGUAACAUGAUGUUGGUUAUCUUGUUUGUUUGUUAUG